CGAGAAACGCCCAGCAAAACUGGGAAACCCUCCUGGAAACUGGCGUGUUCUCGCCGAAAAAAACAAGAGCUGCCUCUCAUUCGUCCGAUAAACAGGAGGCAGUCGUACGUGCACACACCUAUACUAUUUACAGCAUUCAUGCUGUUUAUUGCUGUGUGUAUACCACGAACGGAGGUGUACUUACCAGCACAGAGAGUGUGCGUUUGGAACAGAGAGGAUCCAAAGUGUGUGAGGAUGUGCGCACAUGCUCCCGAGGGGUUCUGUCGCGAUGGCGUUUCCACGCACUACGAAGAAGGUGAUGUCGCCUUUUGUGCGCUGGACCUACUGCUUGCCUAUAAAGUAGACAGGGAAAUUCUCUCACAAUGCCAGAUCGCGCAGUGGCAAGCUGAGUCUGUCCAAGUGAAGUGUUUCGGUUCUUCUGUUUCGGUGUGAUGCAUCAGCGCGUACGCAAGGCAGAGUGCGUCUACGAGUGAGAUGCUUCCAGCUUAGAAAUCGCACGGUCGACGUUUUCAAUAACGUCCAUGAUGGCAGCGGAUCUGACGUGUAGCGAAGUUUCUUUUGUGAUCCUGUUAAAAUCCCAGCUCGGCGCCUGCCGCCGUGCACGGAUUGGUCGAUUCUCUGAGAGCCAGCGAUGAGUUCUAGGUGUACGGGAACAGCCUCUGAGUCCAACCGGCGUCUAUAUGCAUCGUGGUUUUCUGCCUGCAGCCCCUUCUCGUUUUACGAACGACACAGUCCCUUGGUAGAGAGCCGUUCACCGGGUCUAUGGCGAGGCUGAGAGGGGGUGAGGCUGCUCCACGGAAACACUCGAACCGCAAGGCGCAAGGAACAAACAGCCUCUUUCGGUGCGAAACCGAUGCUCACUAGACAGCGGUUCCAUUAGGAAAAAAAGGAGGUCAAAAGUUUUGGCGUGCUGAACUGGGAAGAUGGAUGGCUUCAUCGCGAGCAGUUGUCCAGUGUGUGUUGUCAGAGGACAAAGUCCCACGCCCAUCCCAGGUUUUCGUUGUUAUCGAAAUCUUCGUCGUGCAGCAAAUCAGUGUCGCUGUUUUCUGUGCUCUCUUCAAAGGCCCACGAGUCUAAGCCAAGCACGGCGCCCUCCUCCCCGCCAACUCCCCCCUGCACAAGUAGGAUCUCUUGCAGUAGUUCCCUGGAGACGAGGUCAUCUUUCAGAAAGGGGAUAAUAUUCCCUGUGUCUCCACUAUAUUCAAGCGCCCCCCACUCUUUCGUGUUGAGUGUGGGAAUCUCCAAUUUCAGAGCAUUAUUUCCGCUCCGUGCCUGAGCCUCCCGGGCUAGAUUCGCAUCCAUCAAACCCUGAAAAAGACCGGUUGGCGUUGACGAAGACCGCCGGUCCGCAUGCCCAAAAGCGUCUUCAACCAGCCAGCUCAACUCAACUGCCGGAUUCACGGGCGGCUGUUGAGAAAACUGAGAGGUUUCAGGUCCAUCCGCAGCAUUCUCAACUACAGACGAGUGCAUUCCGGGGGGUAACACGCCCACGUCAGGCGCGAGCCGACGUGUGUCAUCGUCGUUCCGCUGACCUUCCGUGGAUUCGUCAGGCAGGAGAAUGUCGUACCCACGAUCUUCUAGCUGGACUUGAAGAUAGUCCUUCCAUAGGGCUCGCUUGUGUUCUAAGGGAACGUUGUCGAACGCGUACUGAAAAAUGAUGUCCUGCGGUGUGCCCACAUCCGGCUUCUUCUGUGCUUCCUCUGCCCCCUCUUGCUCUACCCGAUCAUAGAAUGCAGUCAGACUUGCCGCUUUUUCUGCAUACCGGACCGCAUCUAAAACAGCAGGGACCGGGGUCUCCGUCGUGGCGUCGUUUCUGUUCCACGGACGGUCCCGGCCUGGCGCCGUCGGCACGAACCGUGUUGUGGGCAGACCAGAUCGUGCAGCGCGUUUGGUCAUUUUCUCUUCGACAAUUUCAUUUAGCUUACGAUCUGCAAAGACGGUGGAAUCUGUCAGCCACUCCAUUCUACCGUGAACGGUGGCUUCAGCUAGACCCCCCACCCCCUGAGUUCGCCGUCCGCCAGAGCCGGGCACGAGGUUCGCGACGAAGGCAAGUGAAUAGGCUGGGUACAAAAAGCGUUGCAAGGCAGCGGUGACUGUUUCUUCAGGGUCAUCGAACACUUCAAAUCCUCCCACAACCCCUCGUCUUCCCUUUGGCCUCUCCUCUUUUUUCGUUUGCACAGAGGCGGAAGAACUUCCGUGAACAGUGCGAGGUGGUUUCCCUAACACAGAUACGCUCUGCGGGCUGGUCGGCUGAACAGGGACUUCAUGGAAGUGGUGGUUCAUCCCGAUUCGUCCGCCAAAGAAUGCAUUGUCUCCAGGGAAAGACCCGAAUACACUUGCUGUCAUGCGGGCCUCUUCCGCACGGCUGGCGGCGGCGUACUUGGCAUGUCGACGAGUUCCUCCCGUCGCCGCUUCUCCACCCUGGAGAGUCCGCCGAACCUAGGAGCGCAGCUCGCGAAGCUAGGCGACCUAAACUGAGAGUAUCCAUCUGUUUCUGAAGCGUAUCGACAGUCUGUUGGAGAUAGGCCAAGCUCCUGUGGAAUUCGGCGUUGGCUUCUCGCAGGCCCUCGCGGUGGGUAUCCGCAAGUCCCAUAUUUCUCCCUCCUGCAGAGAGAAGACGCAUGCGACGGUACUCCAGCUCCUCAUAGCGCCUCCACUCUUCACCUAGAGAUGCCUGCUGCUCUUUAACUCGGGUUAAAAGUUUUUUAAGUGCCUCUGCGGUGGCCGCCGCAAUAUCACUGUCGGCCACCCCAAACGCUCCCUGUUGCUCGUUCCACGUUGAUAGUGGUGACUUGGUUGUCUCGAACCCUGGCGACUCCGACGUCCAUAUUCUCUGCGGGGAACCUUCAAUCGUAGGUUUGUCCUCUCCGGGUAUUUGGCCUCUUCUUGAAGGUUUCGGCUCCUCGGCCCGUUGGGGCUGACGGUUACCUAAAUCUUGGUCAGCGGUCGUUUCAGCAGUCAUAGAGAGGCCUUGUCCCCGCCGCGACAGCUCUAAAGAAAUGGAGGGAUUUCCUUUAGAGUCUAGGGCAGCGCGUGAGGCUGUGUGCGUAAUAGAGUUGCUGGAAUCUCUUUCUACAUCCGCAGAAUUGCGUUUGUCUCCCAGUGUUCUUCCUCUGCUUGCUUCCUGCGCCAAAGUCUCAAUCACAUCAUCAUGGUGAUCCUUGGUAGUUGACUCAAUCCCCCUUUGCGUCUCAGCUGUCAGUUCAGGGAGAGAAGUGAGUGUCUCCAUCGAAGUGUCAGGGAACCAACGUGGGUCAUAAGCCACAGUUACUUGAGC
rnacentral:lncRNA from 1 species